rnacentral:rRNA from 1 species
AACGCUAGCUACAGGCUUAACACAUGCAAGUCGAGGGGCAGCACAGUGUAGCAAUACAUGGGUGGCGACCGGCGCACGGGUGCGUAACGCGUAUCCAACCUUCCCGUUACUCAGGGAUAGCCUUCCGAAAGGGAGAUUAAUACCUGAUGGUGUUUGAAUUCCGCAUGUUAUUCAAACUAAAGAUUUAUCGGUAACGGAUGGGGAUGCGUGACAUUAGAUAGUAGGCGGGGUAACGGCCCACCUAGUCUACGAUGUCUAGGGGUUCUGAGAGGAAGGUCCCCCACACUGGAACUGAGACACGGUCCAGACUCCUACGGGAGGCAGCAGUGAGGAAUAUUGGUCAAUGGUCGGAAGACUGAACCAGCCAAGUAGCGUGAAGGAUGAAGGUUCUAUGGAUUGUAAACUUCUUUUAUACGGGAAUAAAACCUCCCACGUGUGGGAGCUUGCAUGUACCGUAUGAAUAAGCAUCGGCUAACUCCGUGCCAGCAGCCGCGGUAAUACGGAGGAUGCGAGCGUUAUCCGGAUUUAUUGGGUUUAAAGGGAGCGUAGACGGGAGAUUAAGUCAGUUGUGAAAGGCUGCGGCUCAACCGCAGCACUGCAGUUGAUACUGGUUUCCUUGAGUGCGGUUGAGGUGUAUGGAAUUCGUGGUGUAGCGGUGAAAUGCUUAGAUAUCACGAAGAACUCCGAUUG